CGGAGAGUUUGAUCCUGGCUCAGGAUGAACGCUGGCGGCGUGCCUAAUACAUGCAAGUCGAACGCUUUGUGGUUCAACUGAUUUGAAGAGCUUGCUCAGAUAUGACGAUGGACAUUGCAAAGAGUGGCGAACGGGUGAGUAACACGUGGGAAACCUACCUCUUAGCAGGGGAUAACAUCUGGAAACAGAUGCUAAUACCGUAUAACAAUAGCAACCGCAUGGUUGCUACUUAAAAGAUGGUUCUGCUAUCACUAAGAGAUGGUCCCGCGGUGCAUUAGUUAGUUGGUGAGGUAAUGGCUCACCAAGACGAUGAUGCAUAGCCGAGUUGAGAGACUGAUCGGCCACAAUGGGACUGAGACACGGCCCAUACUCCUACGGGAGGCAGCAGUAGGGAAUCUUCCACAAUGGGCGAAAGCCUGAUGGAGCAACGCCGCGUGUGUGAUGAAGGGUUUCGGCUCGUAAAACACUGUUGUAAGAGAAGAAUGACAUUGAGAGUAACUGUUCAAUGUGUGACGGUAUCUUACCAGAAAGGAACGGCUAAAUACGUGCCAGCAGCCGCGGUAAUACGUAUGUUCCAAGCGUUAUCCGGAUUUAUUGGGCGUAAAGCGAGCGCAGACGGUUAUUUAAGUCUGAAGUGAAAGCCCUCAGCUCAACUGAGGAAUUGCUUUGGAAACUGGAUGACUUGAGUGCAGUAGAGGAAAGUGGAACUCCAUGUGUAGCGGUGAAAUGCGUAGAUAUAUGGAAGAACACCAGUGGCGAAGGCGGCUUUCUGGACUGUAACUGACGUUGAGGCUCGAAAGUGUGGGUAGCAAACAGGAUUAGAUACCCUGGUAGUCCACACCGUAAACGAUGAGUGCUAGGUGU
rnacentral:rRNA from 1 species